GAUGAACGCUGACAGAAUGCUUAACACAUGCCAGUCUUUGGCGAAGCUGUGCUUGCACAGCCUAGCCAAGGCGGACGGGUGAGUAACGCGUAAGGAACUUGCCCUGCAGUCAGGGAUAACAGACGGAAACGACUGAUAAGACCUGGUAAAGUCAGGCGGACUCAUGUCCAGCCUGAUGAAAAGAGAUGCUGCAGGAGAGCCUUGCGUCCUAUUAGCUUGUUGGUGGGGUAACGGCCCACCAAGGCGAUGAUAGGUAGCCGGCCUGAGAGGGUGGACGGCCACAAGGGGACUGAGAUACGGCCCUUACUCCUACGGGAGGCAGCAGUGGGGAAUAUUGGACAAUGGGGGCAACACUGAUCCAGCAAUUCUGUGUGCACGAUGAAGGUUUUCGGAGUGUAAAGUGCUUUCAGCAGGGAAGAAAAAAAUGACGGUACCUGCAGAAGAAGCGACGGCUAAAUACGUG
rnacentral:rRNA from 1 species